UACGUAGGGUGCGAGCGUUAAUCGGAUUUACUGGGCGUAAAGCGUGCGCAGGCGGCCCGUUAAGACAUGUGUGAAAUCCCUGGGCUCAACCUAGGAAUUGCGCUUGUGACUGGCGGGCUCGAGUACGGUAGAGGGGGGUGGAAUUCCUGGUGUAGCAGUGAAAUGCGUAGAGAUCAGGAGGAACACCGAUGGCGAAGGCAGCCCCCUGGGCCUGUACUGACGCUCAUGCACGAAAGCGUGGGGAGCAAACAGG
rnacentral:rRNA from 1 species